UACGUAGGUGGCAAGCGUUUGUCCGGAUUUACUGGGCGUAAAGAGCGCGCAGGCGGUCGGAUAAGUCGAAUGUGAAAGCCCCUGGCUCAACCAGGGAGGGUCAUUCGAUACUGUUCGACUCGAAGGCAGGAGAGGGAAGUGGAAUUCCGGGUGUAGUGGUGAAAUGCGUAGAUAUCCGGAGGAACACCAGUGGCGAAGGCGACUUACUGGACACAUAUUGACGCUGAGGUGCGAAA
rnacentral:rRNA from 1 species